GGAUAUAGCUCAGUGGUAGAGUGCAUGCUUAGCAUGCAUGAGGUCCUGGGUUCAAUCCCCAGUAUCUCCA
rnacentral:tRNA from 1 species